rnacentral:rRNA from 1 species
GACGAACGCUGGCGGCGUGCUUAACACAUGCAAGUCGAACGGAAAGGCCCUGCUUUUGUGGGGUGCUCGAGUGGCGAACGGGUGAGUAACACGUGGGUAACCUGCCCUUGACUUUGGGAUAACUUCAGGAAACUGGGGCUAAUACCGGAUAGGAGCUCCUGCUGCAUGGUGGGGGUUGGAAAGUUUCGGCGGUUGGGGAUGGACUCGCGGCUUAUCAGCUUGUUGGUGGGGUAGUGGCUUACCAAGGCUUUGACGGGUAGCCGGCCUGAGAGGGUGACCGGCCACAUUGGGACUGAGAUGCGGCCCAGACUCCUACGGGAGGCAGCAGUGGGGAAUAUUGCACAAUGGGCGGAAGCCUGAUGCAGCAACGCCGCGUGCGGGAUGACGGCCUUCGGGUUGUAAACCGCUUUCGCCUGUGACGAAGCGUGAGUGACGGUAAUGGGUAAAGAAGCACCGGCUAACUACGUG